rnacentral:tRNA from 1 species
UCCCUAUAGCUCAGACGGUAAAGAAUCUGCCUGCAAUGCAGGAAACCCAGGUUCGAUCCCUGGGUUGGGAA